CACGCUUUGUAGGGGUUGAACCUACGACAUUAGGUUUUGGAAACCUACGUUCUACCAACUGAACUAAAAGCGU
rnacentral:tRNA from 1 species